AAUGAAAGAUCAUUUAUAUGCAAUUAUAAGGAACACUGGUUUACAGUUAGAAAAUUAGGAAAACAGUGGUUUAACUUGAAUUCUCUCUUGACGGGUCCAGAAUUAAUAUCAGAUACAAGUGCACUGUGGCAGUGCUGCUUGCUCAGGACCCAGCCCUGCAGCCCUUCUGUGUGUGCUCCCUCGUUAAGUUCAUUUGCUGUUAUUACACACACAGGCCUUCCUGUCUGGUCAUUAGAAAAGCCGGGCUUCCAAAGCACUGUUGAACGCUGAGGAUUCUGUUGUUAGUGUGGUUGUUCAAUGAGUUGUAUUUUAAAUAUCAAAGAUUAUUAAAUAAAGAUAAUGUUUGCUUUUCUA
rnacentral:sRNA from 1 species